CCCAGGCCCUGCCACCGUCUUUUCCCUUUCCCUUCCUCGCCCCCUCCAGCGACCACUGCCCUCCGUCCCUCCGGUCCCUCCCAUCCCUCUGCGAGCCCUAUUGUGGCUGAGCUGCAGGAGCAAACAGAGGAGGAACCCAGCCACCAUGCUAUAUAAGAAGCCCACACCAGCCCGCCCGGAGAGACCAGUGGGAAAACCACAUGGAGAGGCACUGAGGACCCAACCUGCAGUCAGCACCAGCCACCAGAUUUGUGAGUGAAUGAGCCUUCAUUGAUUCCAAAGUCCUGCCAUGGAUGCUUCCAGCUGAGGCCCCAGACGACCUAGGGCAGAGACAAGCUCUUCCUGCUGUGUCCUGUCCGGAUUCCUGACCCGGAGACUCUGCAAACAUAAUAAAGUGGUUGUUUGAUGUAUAAGUACGAUAA